rnacentral:rRNA from 1 species
UGCGUAGGCGGCCAUAUAAGUCAGAAGUGAAAGGCUACGGCUUAACCGUAGUAAGCUUUUGAAACUGUAUGGCUUGAGUGCAGGAGAGGAAAGCGGAAUUCCUAGUGUAGCGGUGAAAUGCGUAGAUAUUAGGAAGAACACCAGUAGCGAAGGCGGCUUUCUGGACUGAAACUGACGCUGAGGUACGAAAGCGUGGGGAGCGAACAGGAUUAGAUACCCUGGUAGUC